rnacentral:rRNA from 1 species
UACGUAGGGCGCAAGCGUUAUCCGGAAUUAUUGGGCGUAAAGAGCUCGUAGGCGGUUUGUCGCGUCUGCAGUGAAAGUCCGGGGCUCAACUCCGGAUCUGCGGUGGGUACGGGCAGACUAGAGUGAUGUAGGGGAGACUGGAAUUCCUGGUGUAGCGGUGAAAUGCGCAGAUAUCAGGAGGAACACCGAUGGCGAAGGCAGGUCUCUGGGCAGUAACUGACGCUGAGGAGCGAAAGCAUGGGGAGCGAACAGG